GCAGAAGUAGUUCAGCGGUAGAAUACAACCUUGCCAAGGUUGGGGUCGCGGGUUCGAAUCCCGUCUUUUGCUCCA
rnacentral:tRNA from 1 species